rnacentral:rRNA from 1 species
CCCUUAGAUGUUCUGGGCCGCACGCGUGCUACACUGAGUGGAUCAGCGGGUCAGGUUGCGCGAAAGUGUUUCCUAAUCUUGAAAUCCGCUCGUGAUGGGGAUUGACGGUUGCAAUUUUCCGUCAUGAACGAGGAAUACCUUGUAAGCGCGGGUCAUCAUCCCGCGCUGAAUACGUCCCUGCCCUUUGUACACACCGCCCGUCGCUCCUACCGAUUGAGUGGUCCGGUGAGGCUUUGGGAUCUGAGCGGAAAGAGCGUUUCGCUGUUUCUGCUCGGAAAACUCAGUCGAACCUUAUCAUUUAGAGGAAGGGGAAGUCGUAACA